UUCAUGCAGGCCUUCCUGGAGCAAUUGCCCCACCACUUAGAUAUGUGGUGGAGUGCUGGUGCUACUGUUGAACUGUGUGAGGUGGGCUUCUAAAGGCAAAUUGUUUAUUAUUCAGCAUAUUUUUAUCACUAUGGACAGUGCUUUGGAAUUUCUUAUCUCAAUCACCUUUAAAAAGCAAGCAAACAAACCAACCCAGCCUGUUUCAGGCCUGGGACCAUCUUGGCGAUUCUCCCCCCUCCACCCACUUUGCUGUCACUAUUCAAGCAAACCACCAGCUCUCUCUGUGUGUGGCGGUGGUGGAACAGUGAAAGAAGCAGUCUGCUCUUUUUCAUCACCUCCCUCUUUUUUCCUCCCAGGUAGGGUUGCCACAUUUUCUUCUGCCAGAGGCAGUGGUGUAGCUAGGGGAGAGGGGGCCCAUGUGGGGACCCUCGGAGUGAGGGAGAUAAUGAAGAAAUUAGGGAGGGGUGCAGCUGGGGGGGCCCCAGGAGCUGGGGGCCCUGGGUUCUUUGAAUUCAUCCGCUCACUUAUCGCUACACCCCUGGCCAGUGGCCCUGUGCUUUUCAGAGCCACAGACCAGCCAGACAUUCUAUAGGUACAGCUUCUCACUUCAUGGGGAAAGCUUCACUCAGUGAUUUUCUGCCGGCCUUGCAGCUAGCGGUUAAAGGCACAGGAGCCCGGCCCAGCACAAAAAUGGCGACGCUCCUAGAAUUAGAUACAGGGUGACUCCUAGGGCAAAGCGGAGCCUUCUUCUGGUCUCCUUGUUGUGGAAACUCUGCUGCCGGGAUGGACACGCCCAUCGGCGCGGCUGAAAAUACCGUGACGCCCACCCAGCCCUGCAGGCUUGCUCAUUAUCCCUUGGGAGUUUAGAGGCUGCUCCCAAAGUACAUCAUAUAUGCCAAGACACCUUCUUACUACUCACCGCCCCCCUCAAUUAUGUUUCUAGGGCCAAUUCUUCUGUUAUCCCUGUAUGCAGUCUGCAUGGCAAUUGCAGUUAAAAAAUAAUAUAAUCACUGGCCUUGGCAUGAAGAUUUCCCACAUAAUUGGACUGAA